CAAACAGGAUUAGAUACCCUGGUAGUCCACGCCGUAAACGAUGUCGACUUGGAGGUUGUUCCCUUGAGGAGUGGCUUCCGGAGCUAACGCGUUAAGUCGACCGCCUGGGGAGUACGGCCGCAAGGUUAAAACUCAAAUGAAUUGACGGGGGCCCGCACAAGCGGUGGAGCAUGUGGUUUAAUUCGAUGCAACGCGAAGAACCUUACCUACUCUUGACAUCCACGGAAUUCGGCAGAGAUGCCUUAGUGCCUUCGGGAACCGUGAGACAGGUGCUGCAUGGCUGUCGUCAGCUCGUGUUGUGAAAUGUUGGGUUAAGUCCCGCAACGAGCGCAACCCUUAUCCUUUGUUGCCAGCGAUUCGGUCGGGAACUCAAAGGAGACUGCCGGUGAUAAACCGGAGGAAGGUGGGGAUGACGUCAAGUCAUCAUGGCCCUUACGAGUAGGGCUACACACGUGCUACAAUGGCGCAUACAAAGAGAAGCGACCUCGCGAGAGCAAGCGGACCUCAUAAAGUGCGUCGUAGUCCGGAUCGGAGUCUGCAACUCGACUCCGUGAAGUCGGAAUCGCUAGUAAUCGUGGAUCAGAAUGCCACGGUGAAUACGUUCCCGGGCCUUGUACACACCGCCCGUCACACCAUGGGAGUGGGUUGCAAAAGAAGUAGGUAGCUUAACCU
rnacentral:rRNA from 1 species